rnacentral:rRNA from 1 species
GACGAACGCUGGCGGCGUGCUUAACACAUGCAAGUCGAGCGGAGCGGCGAACGGGGGCGUAACGCGUGAGUAACUGCCCCCCUCUCUGGGAUAACAGUUGGAAACGGCUCCUAAUCCCGGAUAGUGGUGGAUGACUCGCGUCCUAUCAGCUUGUUGGUGGGGUAGUGGCCUACCAAGGCGACGACGGGGCGCCGGCCUGAGAGGGCGACCGGCCACAGUGGGCUAAGCGACGCCGCAGAGUCCAACGGGGGGCAGCGGGGGGGAAUAUUGUACAGUGGUGGAACGCCUGAUGCAGCGACGCCGCGUGCGGGAUGACGGCUUUCGGGUUGUAAACCGCUUUAGGCCAAGACGCGGUAGUUGCAGAAGAAGCACCGGCUAACUACGUGCCAGCCGCCGCGGUAAUUC